GACGAACGCUGGCGGCGUGCCUAAUACAUGCAAGUAGAACGCUGAAGGAGGAGCUUGCUUCUCUGGAUGAGUUGCGAACGGGUGAGUAACGCGUAGGUAACCUGCCUGGUAGCGGGGGAUAACUAUUGGAAUCGAUAGCUAAUACCGCAUAAGAGUAGAUGUUGCAUGACAUUUGCUUAAAAGGUGCAAAUGCAUCACUACCAGAUGGACCUGCGUUGUAUUAGCUAGUUGGUGGGGUAACGGCUCACCAAGGCGACGAUACAUAGCCGACCUGAGAGGGUGAUCGGCCACACUGGGACUGAGACACGGCCCAGACUCCUACGGGAGGCAGCAGUAGGGAAUCUUCGGCAAUGGACGGAAGUCUGACCGAGCAACGCCGCGUGAGUGAAGAAGGUUUUCGGAUCGUAAAGCUCUGUUGUAAGAGAAGAACGAGUGUGAGAGUGGAAAGUUCACACUGUGACGGUAUCUUACCAGAAAGGGACGGCUAACUACGUGCCAACAGCCGCGGUAAUACGUAGGUCCCGAGCGUUGUCCGGAUUUAUUGGGCGUAAAGCGAGCGCAGGCGGUUAGAUAAGUCUGAAGUUAAAGGCUGUGGCUUAACCAUAGUAGGCUUUGGAAACUGUUUAACUUGAGUGCAAGAGGGGAGAGUGGAAUUCCAUGUGUAGCGGUGAAAUGCGUAGAUAUAUGGAGGAACACCGGUGGCGAAAGCGGCUCUCUGGCUUGUAACUGACGCUGAGGCUCGAAAGCGUGGGGAGCAAACAGG
rnacentral:rRNA from 1 species